AAUAGAUACCCGGGUAGUCCACGCCGUAAACGAUGAGUGCUAAGUGUUAGAGGGUUUCCGCCCUUUAGUGCUGCAGCUAACGCAUUAAGCACUCCGCCUGGGGAGUACGGUCGCAAGACUGAAACUCAAAGGAAUUGACGGGGGCCCGCACAAGCGGUGGAGCAUGUGGUUUAAUUCGAAGCAACGCGAAGAACCUUACCAGGUCUUGACAUCCUCUGACAACUCUAGAGAUAGAGCGUUCCCCUUCGGGGGACAGAGUGACAGGUGGUGCAUGGUUGUCGUCAGCUCGUGUCGUGAGAUGUUGGGUUAAGUCCCGCAACGAGCGCAACCCUUGAUCUUAGUUGCCAGCAUUUAGUUGGGCACUCUAAGGUGACUGCCGGUGACAAACCGGAGGAAGGUGGGGAUGACGUCAAAUCAUCAUGCCCCUUAUGACCUGGGCUACACGCGUGCUACAAUGGAUGGUACAAAGGGCUGCAAGACCGCGAGGUCAAGCCAAUCCCAUAAAACCAUUCUCAGUUCGGA
rnacentral:rRNA from 1 species